rnacentral:rRNA from 1 species
UGGGGAAUUUUGGACAAUGGGGGAAACCCUGAUCCAGCCAUCCCGCGUGUGCGAUGAAGGCCUUCGGGUUGUAAAGCACUUUUGGCAGGAAAGAAACGUCAUGGGUUAAUACCCCGUGAAACUGACGGUACCUGCAGAAUAAGCACCGGCUAACUACGUGCCAGCAGCCGCGGUAAUACGUAGGGUGCAAGCGUUAAUCGGAAUUACUGGGCGUAAAGCGUGCGCAGGCGGUUCGGAAAGAAAGAUGUGAAAUCCCAGAGCUCAACUGUGGAACUGCAUUUUUAACUACCGGGCUAGAGUGUGGCAGAGGGAGGUGGAAUUCCGCGUGUAGCAGUGAAAUGCGUAGAUAUGCGGAGGAACACCGAUGGCGAAGGCAGCCUCCUGGGAUAACACUGACGCUCAUGCACGAAAGCGUGGGGAGCAAACAGG